rnacentral:rRNA from 1 species
AGUGAACGCUGGCGGUAGGCCUAACACAUGCAAGUCGAACGGCAGCACAGUAAGAGCUUGCUCUUACGGGUGGCGAGUGGCGGACGGGUGGGGAAUACAUCGGAAUCUACUUUUUCGUGGGGGGUAACGUAGGGGAACUUACGCUAAUACCGCAUACGACCUACGGGUGAAAGCAGGGGAUCUUCGGACCUUGCGCGAUUGAAUGAGCCGAUGUCGGAUUAGCUAGUUGGCGGGGUAAAGGCCCACCAAGGCGACGAUCCGUAGCUGGUCUGAGAGGAUGAUCAGCCACACUGGAACUGAGACACGGUCCAGACUCCUACGGGAGGCAGCAGUGGGGAAUAUUGGACAAUGGGCGCAAGCCUGAUCCAGCCAUACCGCGUGGGUGAAGAAGGCCUUCGGGUUGUAAAGCCCUUUUGUUGGGAAAGAAAAGCAGCAGGUUAAGACCCCGCUGUUCUGACGGUACCCAAAGAAUAAGCACCGGCUAACUUCGU